CGGCCUGUUCUAGGGGGCGGGGCCUGCCUGCCCUCGACCUGACACUUUUUGCGCCGGGCGACUGAUAGUUUGUCGGUUGCCUGUGCCUUGGCGGCCCGACGCACGAGGUACUGUAGCCCGGUGAUCCGGAAAAGGCGAAAAGGCCUGCUCCAGGAGGGUAUAGCUUCCGGGAACAGUUCAAAAAGCCCUCGCUUCCCCUCGGGUUUGUGGUCCCCCCCCUGGUGGGAUAGGGAGCAGUAAAUUGAUUUAACGGGGGCUCUGUCCCGAAUCGCUCACACUCUAUAUUUGAGAAUCCUAAUAC
rnacentral:rRNA from 1 species